rnacentral:lncRNA from 10 species
UCUAGAUGCUGGGAAUGGGGUGGUAAACAAAACAAAGUUCUUUCCUUCAUGGAGCUUAUCUGCUAAAAGGAAGAUAGACAAAUAAGUAUAUAAUAUAAUUUCAGGUGGUAAAAAAAUGUUAUGAAUGGGCUGGGCACAGUGGCUCACGCCUGUAAUCCCAGCAGUUUUGAGAGGCUGUGGUGGGUGCAUCACCUGAGAUCAGGAGUUUGAGACCAUCCUGACCAACAUGGUGAAACUCCAUCUCUACUAAAAAUACAAAAAAUUUAGCUGGGGGUGUUAGUGGAUGCCUGUAAUAUCAGCUACUCGGGAGGCUGAGGCAGGAGAAUCACUCAAACCUGGGAGGUAGAGGUUGCAGUGAACCAAGGUCACACCACUGCACUCUAGCCUAGGUGACAGAGAGAGACUCUGUCUCAAAAAAAAAAAAAAAAAAAAAGAGACAGAGAGAGAGAGAAAGUACUGGUGGGGAAUGGUGGCUCACACCUGUAAUUCCAGCACUUUGGGAGGCCAAGGCGGGUGGAUCACUUGAGGCCAGGAGUUUGAGACCAGCCUGGCCAACAUGGUGAAACUCCAUCUCUACUAAAAAUACAAAAAUUAUCUAGAUGUGGUAGUGCAUGCCUGUAAUUCCGGCUACUCAGGAGGCUGAUGUACAAGAAUCACUUGAACCCAGGAGGCGGAGGUUGCAGUGAGUUGAGAUUGCACCACUGCACUCCAGCCUAGGCGACAGAGCGAGACUCUGUGUCAAAAAAAAAAAAAAAAAGAGAGAGAGAGAGAGAGAGAUGAAGCACAGAUACAUGUGACAACACGGAUAAACCCUGAAAACAUUAUAUUAAGUAAAAGAAACCAAUCACAAUAAAAGCACAUAUUGUAUGAUUCCACUUAUGUGAAAUAUCCAGAAUAGGCAAAUCAACAGACAGAAAGUAGAUUCUGAUUCAGUUAGUCCGUUUUGGAGCCUGAGAUUCUGCAUUUCCAAUCUAUUUCUAGGUAGUGUUAAUGCUGCCAGUCCAAAGGCCUACUUUGAGUAACAAGAUCUUAGAGAUCGUCUCGCAUCUUG